CCUACGGGGGGCUGCAGUGGGGAAUAUUGCACAAUGGGCGCAAGCCUGAUGCAGCGACGCCGCGUGAGGGAUGACGGCCUUCGGGUUGUAAACCUCUUUCAGUAGGGAAGAAGCGAAAGUGACGGUACCUGCAGAAGAAGCACCGGCUAACUACGUGCCAGCAGCCGCGGUAAUACGUAGGGUGCGAGCGUUAUCCGGAAUUAUUGGGCGUAAAGAGCUCGUAGGCGGUUUGUCGCGUCUGUCGUGAAAGUCCGGGGCUUAACCCCGGAUCUGCGGUGGGUACGGGCAGACUAGAGUGCAGUAGGGGAGACUGGAAUUCCUGGUGUAGCGGUGGAAUGCGCAGAUAUCAGGAGGAACACCGAUGGCGAAGGCAGGUCUCUGGGCUGUAACUGACGCUGAGGAGCGAAAGCAUGGGGAGCGAACAGGAUUAGAUACCCUGGUAGUC
rnacentral:rRNA from 1 species